GUGCUUUCUGAGACAGCCAAUGUGCAGGGACUGUUUUUCCAAACUACUAGACAUAAGCCCCACUUUAAACCUGCAUCUGUCUGGGCAAUAAGGAUAUAAAACAACUUCUAACUGCCUGGAAUUGGGAAGAAGGUCACCCAACAGGGAUAUUAUUGCAAAGUUGUCCAUUGUGAGAGUUUUAGACCUUCCUCUGAAGAAUCUGCUACUGGCCAAUUUUGGAGACGGAUUAGUGCAUUAAAUGGACCACUGGUCUGAUCUGGUAUUGCCAUUCUUCUGUUCCAAGUGGAAGUUGGGAGCAGAGCACUCAUUGCAUGAGGCCCUGAAUGCUAUGUAGCAGCAGUAAAAUGUCAGCUCUCCUUCAGAAACACCAGAAGCAUUCAUAGUUUAAAAGUGACUGUGUGCUAGAAUGGCAGCUAAGAAGAAUGAAGUAUUAUUAUUAUUAUUGAUAAACUACAGAACAGGUACAGGGCAGCCCUACUUUCU